rnacentral:sRNA from 1 species
UGAGCCCCUGUCCGUCCGCCGCCACCACCCACUCCGGACACAGAACAUCCAGUCAUGGAUAAAAAUGAGCUGGUUCAGAAGGCCAAACUGGCCGAGCAGGCUGAGCGAUAUGAUGACAUGGCAGCCUGCAUGAAGUCUGUAACUGAGCAAGGAGCUGAAUUAUCCAAUGAGGAGAGGAAUCUUCUCUCAGUUGCUUAUAAAAAUGUUGUAGGAGCCCGUAGGUCAUCUUGGAGGGUCGUCUCAAGUAUUGAACAAAAGACGGAAGGUGCUGAGAAAAAACAGCAGAUGGCUCGAGAAUACAGAGAGAAAAUUGAGACGGAGCUAAGAGAUAUCUGCAAUGAUGUACUGUCUCUUUUGGAAAAGUUCUUGAUCCCCAAUGCUUCACAAGCAGAGAGCAAAGUCUUCUAUUUGAAAAUGAAAGGAGAUUACUACCGUUACUUGGCUGAGGUUGCCGCUGGUGAUGACAAGAAAGGGAUUGUGGAUCAGUCACAACAAGCAUACCAAGAAGCUUUUGAAAUCAGCAAAAAGGAAAUGCAACCAACACAUCCUAUCAGACUGGGUCUGGCCCUUAACUUCUCUGUGUUCUAUUAUGAGAUUCUGAACUCCCCAGAGAAAGCCUGCUCUCUUGCAAAGACAGCUUUUGAUGAAGCCAUUGCUGAACUUGAUACAUUAAGUGAAGAGUCAUACAAAGACAGCACGCUAAUAAUGCAAUUACUGAGAGACAACUUGACAGUAAGUACAUAACAGCAUCAUUAGUGAUGAAUGUGGUUGAAGAGGUUAUGUUUUACUCUAGGGAAUUUUUUUUUUUAUUAAAUACAUCUUUUUAAAAUUUUUUCUCAACACAUUUCAUAGGCUCUCAUAAAUAUAUCUUAGCUACUAUUAAAGUCCUAUGAAGGAAAAUUACAGAAACUGAAAUAUUAGACUGAGAACACACACAUUGAUGAGUUACCUGUCUUGUUAAAAUUUGUUAGUAUCAAAAGUGUGCUGAGACUCUACAUGUUUAGUUCCUUUAAGAAUGAUUUUCUUGCCCAUCAAGUUGCCUCCAUAUUUGUAAAGAUAAUGGUAGGGAAUUAAUAACUUGAGUUACAAAAUCUCAGGUAUCUACAGAAUCCAAGUGGAAGUCUAUUUUGCCUAGCUUCUUCUUUUAAAUGACUUAAUAUGAAAGGUCGUGAUUGUCCUUGGGAUACUGCAGAUGUAUAAAAAGAAACAGUGUCACUAUCACACCAGGAACAUCAACAUAAUUCCCUAAUAAUGUUUGAAUAUCUAAAUAAUACUUGAAUUCCAAUUAUCUCUCUUGUUUUAAGUUAUUUGAAUUGGGAUUCAAAUUCAGUCCACAAUGCAGUUGAUUUGUAUGUCUCGUUUGUUUCUUAGGUCUUCUCAUUCUUCUCCUUCAGAUAAAUACUAGAUUUGAAAUUUUGAGGCUUAGGUGAAAAAAUUAUCAAGCAUUUGCUGUGUGUCAGGUAAAGAGGUAGGAAUUGCAGAUCAUAAUCUAGGUAUUACUGUUUUUUUGUUAGACUUCUAGGGCCAUUUCUCUUGGGGACUAUGUAAUCUCAUUGUAUACAUUUCUCUUCCAACUUUAUUCUAGUCCACUGCCAUUUUCUAUAAACCAGUUCUGUAUGCUAGUGCUGAAAAUCUUGAAGAGUUUUUUGAAUAGUAUUGUAUACUUGUUUAUUAAACCUAAAAUUACUUUAUUAGCACAAUUUGGAGCUAUCUAUAAACUUUUCUGAUACUUGAGUCAACAAGCCACAGUAAAGAAUGAAAGAAUCUUAUAUAUCAAACAUAAGAAGCACUUUGUUAACUAACUUUAGUAUUAAGGAUUUUUCUUUUCUAGUUUGAAGUGAUGACAUUUUUAAAGUGAUGACCUGAGACCUAGAUACUGUGUUUUGUUCACAUCACUUUUUGAGAGGCCCUGAUCUACUGUCUGCUUCCAACUGAAUUUUGCUAUCAGUAUAGCAUGAAGAGCGCAUAUUGCAAUAAGAAAACCAGGGUUGGCUGGGCGUGGUGGCUCACGCCUGUAAUCCCAGCACUUUGGGAGGCCGAGGCGGGCGGAUCACCAGGUCAGGAGUUCAGGAACAGCUUGGCCAAGAUGGUGAAACCCCAUCUCUACUAAAAAUACAAAAAUUAGCUGGGCAUAGUGGUGGGCACCUGUAAUCCCAGCUACUCGGGAGGCUGAGGCAGGAGAAUCACUUGAACCCGGGAGGCAGAGGUUGCAGUGAGCUGAGAUCACACCGCUACAC